rnacentral:rRNA from 1 species
AUACGGAGGGUGCGAGCGUUAAUCGGAAUUACUGGGCGUAAAGGGUGCGUAGGCGGCUUGAUAAGUCGGAUGUGAAAGCCCCGGGCUUAACCUGGGAAUUGCAUUCGAUACUGUCAGGCUAGAGUAUGUCAGAGGUUGGCGGAAUUCCUGGUGUAGCGGUGAAAUGCGUAGAUAUCAGGAGGAACACCAGUGGCGAAGGCGGCUAACUGGGGCAAUUCUGACGCUGAGGCACGAAAGCGUGGGGAGCAAACAGGAUUAGAUACCCUAGUAGUCC